rnacentral:rRNA from 1 species
UACGUAGGUGGCGAGCGUUAUCCGGAAUGAUUGGGCGUAAAGGGUGCGCAGGCGGCCUGUUAAGUCAGCGGUAAAAGCCCGGGGCUCAACCCCGGCGAGCCGUUGAAACUGGCAGACUUGAGUUGGCGAGAAGUACGCGGAAUGCGCGGUGUAGCGGUGAAAUGCAUAGAUAUCACGCAGAACGCCGAUUGCGAAGGCAGCAUACCGGCGCCCAACUGACGCUGAGGCACGAAAGCGUGGGGAUCGAACAGG